GACAAGAAAUCCACAACACUUUAUAGAAUUGCAUAACAUCUAUUCAAGAUGGAGAACUGCAUUUCAGCUUCCUCAAAUUCUUGUGAAAACCCUUAGAAUUCAAAUGAAAAGCAGAACUGAAUCUUCGUCAAAGUUAAGAUUAUGCCACAAAAAGGAAACUUACUGAGAUAUUAGAUGGGAAGGAAAGGGGAACAGUGAAAACACAACAGGUAAAUGGAAUCAAUAACACAUCACUAAAAAAAAUAGGUCAAAAAAGGGCAUCAAAUAACAAACAGGUUGCAGCAUUUCUAAUGCUUGCAUGGCUGAUUGUGGAGUGAACACCCCAAUACCUUGAGGGGAAUGAAUAUCAAAGGGUUUUUUAAAGCCAUGGUUGACCUGUUGACUCUGGGGUAAUGCUGGGAGCAAAGAGACACUCAGUCCCCACUCACCUGGCUGAUGUAAGCAGAAAGUCAUGAUGACAUAAGGAGCUCCUGGUCCCACCCCUCCUUCUCCCUGCUCAUCCCUUCCCUCUUGUGCUGGCACAGCUGUGCACACCUUCACCUGACGGAGCCCAUCGGGGCACCAAUCCUGCUCCAAGCACCUGGCACAAGGGAAGGACACCACAGCAACAAGGAACUAGAAUCCUAAAUUAGACACAAUGCUUCAUGGAAGCCAAAUAUGAGAUCUGAAGUGAGAAGUAGCAUGAUCAAACAAAUGACCUGACUGCUGCUCACAUGUGAAAAACCCAGCACUUACGUGAGAAGACGUCAACAAACUCAAGGACGUGUGUGCAUUUGUGGACAGCACUUACUUCAGCAUCUAAUUAUCCUCAGGGUUUUGUCAGCGUGGCUUUGGCACCUGAAGAAAAGCCUGCUGCAUUAGGCUGGUACUAACAGCAGACCACUUAAAAUAACUGGCUGGCUCUUCCAGAGUGUUCCAGCACCUGCUGGAUGCCUCUGCCUCCUUCUCCUCCACCAGGUAAAGCCUGCAACGUGUGUUGGCUCUGGAUUGCAGCCUGCUGUUUAUCUGUGGCAGGCAAGCAGCAGCCCCUCUGCUUCCAGAGCUUCAGCCUCUCCCCGUGCUGGAGAUAAGUUACUCCUCGAGUCCUUUCUGCCAAUUGUUCUUGGCAAAGGGACCAGGGAAGACUUUUGUUGUUGCUGGCUGUUAUCUCUGCCUCUGACUCCACUUGGCAGAGGUGCAAAUCCAUCUCUCUGGUGUGGAAACAAGCUGCUGGACUUUGGAUGAGUCAACUCAUUAAUAAACAAAGAGUUACAAAGGAAGCAGGGAUCAGUCUUAACAAAAUAAAUGCUUUGAAAGUUUGGAUGCUAAGGUAUUUGUCCUCCCCAGCAUGACAUUGCUUUAUCUUGGGCCCCAGCCUUCCUAUCAGAAAAUGGGAAAGUUAGUAGUUUAUCAAAUUUUAAUCAGCUUAAAUGUUGAUGCAUUACUUACAUAGCAUGGAAAGUAUUUUCUCUGUUGUUAUUGGUGAAAGUGGGUUAUUUUUAAUUAUUAAUUUACAUCUGUUUCUAUACCUUCACUGCUUUGUGGAAUAUGCCAGUGCUAAUUGGAAAACCUUCCAUCACCUACUGCUUACCCUAUCUCUUUGAAGGAACCCAAGCCAGCUGCUCUGUGGGAAUCUCAGAACUGAAGUAUUAAGUUCUCAGGGAAUUCUUUUCUUUGCUGAAGCAGAAGUAUGUGAUCAGAUUCAGGAACAUGGGACUUGGAGUAUGGGGGAUUGUAGGUUUUUGGUGGAUGGGGUUUACUUUGUGUUAUUUUUUUCAAGGGGAGGAUAUUUGGAUUUUUCUCCUUGUCCAUAGCCCACUGUUGACCAGGAAAAAUUUCAUUUGGAUGGGGCCUUAGUUUUCAUCCAGCAACACUAUCUUAGUAGUAAAAGGAAAGCCUGGCUCAGCUUUCUUGAUGCUCCUUAUGCCACCCUUAAGGACAGCAACCCCACUCUCCUUGUGCCAGCACAGGGAAAACCUCACAGUUUCCUCAUCUGCAAGAUGUCCACAGCCAGAUGCCCUUCUCUCACCUUCAGAAGCCAGUCUUGCUCUCCAGCAGAUACUGGAGUCAGUCCCCAGUCAAGUGCACAACUAUUCCAGCAGUAUUAAAGCAGAGCAAGAUAGGUACGUUACACAUCAGAAAAGCUGGAAGCAAAAGGAGCUGUAGGCAAACAUGCUGCUGGACUAUUAAUUCCACAUAAAGCAAAUAUGGACAUACAGCUAGAAAGCUUAUUUACAGCAAACUCUUAAUAAGCAAGAGCAACAAAGUAUUACAAGUUUGGCACAGACUGCAUCCACAUUGCCUUUCAAUACCUUUGUGUGGUAACUUUAUUUGAAAGCCCAGAAAGUAAUUCUAAUGGCAUGGGUAUAUUUGCUUUAUAGGGGGAAAAAAAAGUGAUUGUUUGUAUUUUCCUAGCAGAAGCAUGGCCUCUCUCUCCUCCAUGUCAAUGUGCCAUUUAGUUUUCCCCCAGGGGACCCAUCAAAUCCAACGUUACCCUGCCUCCAACAAGGUAUUCCCAACAAACUGCACUGCUCAUUCUUCCUGCCCAAAAUUCACUGACAAGUUUAACACUGAAAGUAAACCAGAUAUGACCAGAUAUGUACAUUCUCCUCUUCAAGAAUUUUGUGAAAUGCACAUGAAUAUUUAUCUACCCAGGAAAACUGCAAAGGGUAAUAGGAUGUGGGAAUCUUAAAGGAAAAAGGAUACAUCAUACUUCUAGUAAAAUGUAAGAUUUUUUGUUAAUUAAUUCCUAGAGUUCCCUAAGAGUUAGAUAAUAACUGUUGCACAAUAUAUAUUGUGAAAUAAAUUGUUUGAAGAACUAAAAUACAUAGAGAACACAUACCAUAAGACAGGUGUCUGAUGAGAUGCCUUCAUCUGUGUUAAAAAGCGUUGUGCAAAGGAUAGUGUUCAAGAGCUAGGAAAGGUCACAAUAAAAUUAGGCUAAGAAAGCCAAUGGAAAGUUUCCUCAGCAGAGUCCUUCAAUGAAGCGUGGACAAUUUUCCCAGAAAGUUCACUGACAAAGCAGCUGGUCAAUGACAAUCUAUAGC